rnacentral:lncRNA from 10 species
GACUGUUCAAUACGAGUGUUAAAGAAGAAUCCAGCAUUGGCUUCACAAGCCAGAAGAGCUCUCUUUUCUUCAAUAAAGAUGGAACUCAUUUCCUAGGGUAUAGUGAGAGACCAUCUACCAGGACAGCCAAAUCAGCCCCAUCUACCCUGACCAUCAGUAAUGUGGUAGACACCUGAGCUUUCAGGUCAUUAAUUAACUAAUUAAUUUGUCAACCUAAUAUUUUGUGAGUGAUUGAUAUAGCCCCAUUCCAGAUGUUAGCAGGAUGCAGAAAAGGUGCAAACAGAUUCCUGCUUUCAGUGUACUCACAGUUUAGUGCUUGGCCACUCACAACUAACCUUUGAGUCCCUUCCUAUCUCUACUUCUCUGACUUGUUUUGCAGCAUAAACACAGGAAUAAAUAUUCCUAAGGUAACCAAGGAUUCGGUCAUGAAUGUCUUUCUAAUCCAUUCACACUACCCAAAACACUUAUGCAGGAUUAUCCAUCACGAGUCAUUCUACAGUCCUAAUCACAUUGGCUGCUGAAGGAAGCCUCGUAUUAAUUACAUUUUUCCUAAAUGGAAAACAGCUGUGAUGAAUUAAUCUAUUCACCAGAAAUCUCAUAUUAGGAAAUGAAGUCUCAUAUUUCUCAUAUAGGAAUAUCUAUAUCCUGAUAUAGAUUUUUCUCAACUGUCAGUGUCUCCAACUGGAAGAGGAAGAAUAAUAUCUUCCUCUACCUUACCUGUGUCUUUGAAUGUGGCUGGUUCACUUGGCCCCUUCUACUUCUCUGUCAUACAGCAGAGACAAAAUGUUUCCUCAGCUAGACUAGAAACAUUUAAAUGAUAAACACAUAUUUUUUUAAAAAAAUGUCACUCAGAUGCAGUAAAGUCAGCAAAACAGAACACAUAAUUACAAGGCCCACUUAAAGAGACACAUCCAGAGCAUAAAUCUCCUGCUUAAGGAUGGGCCUAAUGCAGAUAUUACUGCUAAUGCCACUAAACAUUCAGUCUCAGAAGUCACUUCCUGUGCUCUGAUUCUAGAAGAACUAAUUAAGAUUCUGAGUAUAAGUUGGCUUCCCAAAUGGAUUUUCUUUAUUGGGAUACAUUUUGCUACCCAAAGAAAAGUUUCCUGUUCUUUUGUUGGUUUCUCAUUAUUGACAGAUAUUUUGACAAAUUCAAAUAUCUGAGGCUACUAAGCUAAGGCUUCAACAUUGUACAAUUGUGAUUAAAGAAAUGUCAUACUGAUUGCCUCUCUUCCCCCAACCCACCCCCAGCCCUUCAAGUAGUAAUACCGAAUUUCUUUGUGCCU